AGUGAACGCUGGCGGUAGGCCUAACACAUGCAAGUCGAACGGCAGCACAGUAAGAGCUUGCUCUUACGGGUGGCGAGUGGCGGACGGGUGAGGAAUACAUCGGAAUCUACUUUUUCGUGGGGGAUAGCGUAGGGAAACUUACGCUAAUACCGCAUACGACCUACGGGUGAAAGCAGGGGAUCUUCGGACCUUGCGCGAUUGAAUGAGCCGAUGUCGGAUUAGCUAGUUGGCGGGGUAAAGGCCCACCAAGGCGACGAUCCGUAGCUGGUCUGAGAGGAUGAUCAGCCACACUGGAACUGAGACACGGUCCAGACUCCUACGGGAGGCAGCAGUGGGGAAUAUUGGACAAUGGGCGCAAGCCUGAUCCAGCCAUACCGCGUGGGUGAAGAAGGCCUUCGGGUUGUAAAGCCCUUUUGUUGGGAAAGAAAAGCAGCAGGUUAAUACCCCGCUGUUCUGGCGGUACCCAAAGAAUAAGCACCGGCUAACUUCGUG
rnacentral:rRNA from 1 species